AAAACCCCAAAGUGGGCACAUUAUGAACAGGAUGUCUUCCUGGAUGGUAAAUAAUAAUUUGUUCCAUCAUUCUAAGCAAUUUCAAUUCAUAUUUGUGAUGUUCAUUCAAUGAUAUUUCUCUGCUUUCUAGUUUAGGUGUUUCUUAUUCAAUUGUUCUUCAUUUUAGAUGUUAAUUGUUUUUACAUUUCUUUUCACUUUAGAUUCAAUUCAUGUUAACCUUUCAAUUAACUGCAUCAAUUUUUCCUGUCUAUAGUAGAUUCAUUCUUUCAUUGUUACAUUUCAUAUAGCUCAUGUUAGUUAGCAUUCAAGUUUCUUAAUUUUUACACCUGUGAAUACAUAUUUUUUUUUUUAUUGUUCAGUUUAGAAUUUAGGUUCUGUUUUAAAUAUGAAUAGAUUUUCUGUCUUCAUUACUUUAGUCUAGGUUUUAUUUCUUUAUUUUCUUCUUUCUUUUAUUUUACACAUAUUAUAGUUAGAUUAGUUCCAGUUCUUUAAUUUUCCUUUAGUUUCAUU
rnacentral:lncRNA from 1 species